rnacentral:rRNA from 1 species
AUUGAACGCUGGCGGCAUGCCUUACACAUGCAAGUCGAACGGCAGCACGGGAGCAAUCCUGGUGGCGAGUGGCGAACGGGUGAGUAAUAUAUCGGAACGUGCCCAGUCGUGGGGGAUAACGUAGCGAAAGCUACGCUAAUACCGCAUACGAUCUAUGGAUGAAAGCGGGGGAUCGCAAGACCUCGCGCGAUUGGAGCGGCCGAUAUCAGAUUAGGUAGUUGGUGGGGUAAGGGCUCACCAAGCCGACGAUCUGUAGCUGGUCUGAGAGGACGACCAGCCACACUGGGACUGAGACACGGGCCAGACUCCUACGGGAGGCAGCAGUGGGGAAUUUUGGACAAUGGGCGCAAGCCUGAUCCAGCAAUGCCGCGUGCAGGAUGAAGGCCUUCGGGUUGUAAACUGCUUUUGUACGGAGCGAAAAGGCUCUCUCUAAUACAGGGGGCUCAUGACGGUACCGUAAGAAUAAGCACCGGCUAACUACGUGCCAGCCGCCGCAGUAAGAC